rnacentral:lncRNA from 1 species
GGAUCAUUCCUAAUAUCCCUAUCUCUCACAAAGAAUACUUUCUCUAGAUCUUCUGUAGGAAUAUCUAAGUACCUAUCAGGAGGACAGGAGAUCUUACUUGAUCUAUGAGAUAGAGGUGGUACCACAUCUAUUGACUCACUAUUGGAUUCAGAUUUUUGGACUCAAUGCUCUUCAAAGACCUUCUCUUCGAGCUCAAUUUUCCUACCACUGUCUCCAUCUUAAAUAAACUCUU